CUCCAUUAGAGCUGGGAGUAUAAAACGCAGAAAGAAAACUGCCAAGCUGACAGUCUUCCAUAGUCAUUCUUUCUCAAAACACUCUCGUCUUGCAAUGAACACAGUAUCGUUUUUUUUCCUGUUAUAUAUACAGGGCUACCUGCUAACACAUGCUUUAGACUGUGCAGAUGGGGGCAUGGAUUGUGACAGUGGGCAGGUUGAAAGGAUAAAGACAAGGUACACAAACGCAGACCAUGAGAGAGGAGCUCAACGUAGCCAAGCCAACCUACCAGGGGCCUUUAAAGCCAAGGGCUUCCCCAACACUCUAAUUCAGGCGGACAGAUCAAGGCGUCAUCUGAAUAGCAAUAAGAAGAAACCAUUGCCUCUUAAAUCACGAGUGGGCAGUUACUCACUGCUGAGUCACAACCCUAUGAGUCCUCUGCCAGUACGUAUCCAUGCCAAUGACCUGAGUUAUGAUCAUGAACUUUUCCCUUUACCGUGACCAUUAAUUAAUCAGGUAAUGAGAGCUCGAAGGCAUGCUGCUGAUCCAGUCAUGCCUUCUAGAAUGUGAAGGAGAGGCCUAAGGGAAGAGAAACCAGGAAGAACACAGAAGUUGCAGUCUGCUCAUGGAAUGGGAUGUUUGUAGGGAAAAGUUAAAAACAAUCCAAAGACAAAUACAGGGAUGCAUAUAUUAAGUUCAUCGCCAUUUACUCCAUCUGAUUGUUCACUUAUGUACUGUCAUUUAACAAGCUUAUUGAAGGUUUUUUAUUCAUCAAUGUAUUUAAA